CUGAUCCAGCAAUGCCGCGUGAGUGAAGAAGGCCUUCGGGUUGUAAAGCUCUUUUGUCAGGGAAGAAACGGGUGAGGUUAAUACCUUUGCCUAAUGACGGUACCUGAAGAAUAAGCACCGGCUAACUACGUGCCAGCAGCCGCGGUAAUACGUAGGGUGCAAGCGUUAAUCGGAAUUACUGGGCGUAAAGCGUGCGCAGGCGGUUAUACAAGACAGAUGUGAAAUCCCCGGGCUCAACCUGGGAAUUGCAUUUGUGACUGUAUGGCUAGAGUGUGUCAGAGGGGGGUAGAAUUCCACGUGUAGCAGUGAAAUGCGUAGAUAUGUGGAGGAAUACCGAUGGCGAAGGCAGCCCCCUGGGAUAACACUGACGCUCAUGCACGAAAGCGUGGGGAGCAAACAGGAUUAGAUACCCUGGUAGUCCACGCCCUAAACGAUGUCUACUAGUUGUCGGGUCUUAAUUGACUUGGUAACGCAGCUAACGCGUGAAGUAGACCGCCUGGGGAGUACGGUCGCAAGAUUAAAACUCAAAGGAAUUGACGGGGACCCGCACAAGCGGUGGAUGAUGUGGAUUAAUUCGAUGCAACGCGAAAAACCUUACCUACCCUUGACAUGUACGGAAUCCUGAAGAGA
rnacentral:rRNA from 1 species